GACGAACGCUGGCGGCGUGCUUAACACAUGCAAGUCGAACGGAAAGGCCCUGCUUUUGUGGGGUGCUCGAGUGGCGAACGGGUGAGUAACACGUGAGUAACCUGCCCUUGACUUUGGGAUAACUUCAGGAAACUGGGGCUAAUACCGGAUAGGAGCUCCUUCUGCAUGGGGGGGGUUGGAAAGUUUCGGCGGUUGGGGAUGGACUCGCGGCUUAUCAGCUUGUUGGUGGGGUAGUGGCUUACCAAGGCUUUGACGGGUAGCCGGCCUGAGAGGGUGACCGGCCACAUUGGGACUGAGAUACGGCCCAGACUCCUACGGGAGGCAGCAGUGGGGAAUAUUGCACAAUGGGCGGAAGCCUGAUGCAGCAACGCCGCGUGCGGGAUGACGGCCUUCGGGUUGUAAACCGCUUUCGCCUGUGACGAAGCGUGAGUGACGGUAAUGGGUAAAGAAGCACCGGCUAACUACGUG
rnacentral:rRNA from 1 species